UUUGGCACUCGGAGUGCCUUAUACUGGCUUGCAAGGAAAGCAACACACACCUCUAUUACAAUGUACACAUUUUUUGUGUCUCUAUAUAGGAAUCCAGCUGUCAAAAUUUUGGCUAAGGCAAACAGAAAGACGAACAAGGAAGAUGAUUGCCCGUUUCACAGGCUAGAAAUCUACCCUGUCAAAUGUGUAGUGAAGACACGUGAAAGAAAGGGCUGCAAAGAGGUACUUGUCCAUUGGCUCCCAUGCCCCUCAUGCCAAAAGACCUGGCCCCCAUCUUGGGAACCCCAAGAUAAUGUAACCAUGGCCCUGUCAUAAGGACACAGUCAUUUAUUGAACAAGUUAAAAAUAUAAUAAUAGGUAAGUGGUUUUAUGUAUAAUUCGUAUAGCUUUUUUUUGCCGGAUGAAUGUGGAUGUGUUUUUGUUAGGGCCCGACCGAUUAUCGGCCGCACCGAUAUAUCGGGCCGAUAUAUCGGGCCGAUAUUUAACAUUUUGGGGAUAUCGGUAUCGGCCAUACUUUCCAUAAAUUCCCACCGAUAAGUUCAUAUAAUUUUCACAACCAAUUUUGCAGCCGUUUCGUUCUGAACGCGCCUUCCGCUCUUGCCACUUGGAAUUCAUGAGCCUUGCCAAGUUGCCCCGCCCGUCACAGCAUCUGAUUUGUUUGGCACACGGAAUACAACCAAUCAACACGCAAGGCUGCAAGCGGGGCGGGGUGCCUUCACGCUCCCUGUGACUCGUGAGCGGUUUCUAGACGGCCAAGUGGGGCUAAGGACG